CUACGGGCUGCUGCAAGCGAGAAAACUUUGCAAUGUGCGCAAGCACGACAAGGUUAAUCCGAGUGGUUUCUGCUAAAGGAACCUUUUGACAGUCCUAGAAACACUGUUGAAUAAGGGGUGGGCAAGUUCUGGUGUCAGCCGCCGCGGUAAAACCAGCACCUCAAGUGGUCAGGAUGAUUAUUGGGCCUAAAGCAUCCGUAGCCGGCUCUGUAAGUUUUCGGUUAAAUCUGUACGCUUAACGUACAGGCUGCCGGGAAUACUGCAGAGCUAGGGAGUGGGAGAGGUAGACGGUACUCGGUAGGAAGGGGUAAAAUCCUUUGAUCUAUUGAUGACCACCAGUGGCGAAGGCGGUCUACCAGAACACGUCCGACGGUGAGGGAUGAAAGCUGGGGGAGCAAACCGGAUUAGAUACCCCCGUAGUC
rnacentral:rRNA from 1 species